rnacentral:tRNA from 1 species
AGGAGUUUAGUUUAACAUAGAAUGUUUGGUUGUCAAUCCUUCGGUCCUUUGGGGGAAUUCCUG